rnacentral:lncRNA from 1 species
ACGUGUAAUAAGUGAUAUCAUCAAAAUUUGUUUUAGCCGUCAAACUGGUAAUUGGUCUAGAAAUUUAUAAAAAUAGGUAAAAUUGGUCCCACCUUGAUUGUUGUAACAUUUGUGCUAAUGCGGGUAACUGUUAACAUGUGACUUUCACGUGUUAUUAAUUGUAUAAAAUAGCAUCAUAAAUUAAAGAGUGAUAAUUCAC